GGGUCCAUCCUAAUCCCUGCCGGCCGGCCGUGGCCUCCGGGGUUCGCUUGUGGACCAGAGCAGCCUGGAAGCCGCCCCCACCGGCGGGGGCCCCCGGCCCUCUGCACGGGCGCCUCCAGACACCC
rfam:Erinaceus europaeus unplaced genomic scaffold scaffold00954, whole genome shotgun sequence